AGUCAUAUAGUCUAGCAGUAUUUCUCACUCUUCAGUCCUCUCUUUAUGACAGUAGACUUGUUUCGUCAGUGGAGCUCAAGUUAGAGGCAGAUAUGAUACCUGCAGUGGUACUGAUGACCCUGUUGUGGAGCACAGAUCUCCAGGCUCAAAGCGUCAGUCCACCAGCUGAAGACUCAGUCAGACUGGUGAAUGGGACCACUUCCUGUUCUGGGACAGUGGAAGUCUUCUACAGAGGAGAGUGGUUGGGUCUAUGUCCUAGUUGGUGGAGCAUGAUGAGAGGUUAAUGUUGUGUGUAGAGAGCUGGACUGUGGGAAUCCUGUAUCUGAAUCGAGAGGACCUCUGAUUGGAGAUGAAAGAAGAGGAGUCACACUAUA